rnacentral:rRNA from 1 species
CCUACGGGAGGCAGCAGUGGGGAAUAUUGCACAAUGGAGGAAACUCUGAUGCAGCGACGCCGCGUGAAGGAAGAAGUAAUUCGGAAUGUAAACUUCUAUUAUCAGGGAAGAAAAUGACGGUAUCUGAAUAAGAAGAGCCGGCUAAAUAGGUGCCAGCAGCCGCGGGAAUAGGUAGGGGGCAAGCGUUAUCCGGAUUAACUGGUGUUAAAGGGGGCGUAGGCGGUUUAGCAAGUAAGAAGUGAAGGCCCGGGGCUCAACUCCGGGACUGCUUUUGAAACUGUUGAACUAGAUUGCAGGAGAGGUAAGUGGAAUUCCUAGUGUAGCGGUGGAAUGCGUAGAUAUUAGGAGGAACACCAGUGGCGAAGGCGGCUUACUGGACUGUAAAUGACGCUGAGGCUCGAAAGCGUGGGGAGCAAACAGGAUUAGAUACCCUAGUAGUC